UCCAACGGCUAAUACACGGCAGUCAAUCUGUGUGGCCAUUUAAGGUCAUUACAGCUGUAUCAGACGCAAUGGGUGAAAAGUACCACAGGUGUUUCUGUUUGGGUUUGAUUGACCCAACAACGGGCCGGAAAUGAGACCGGACAAGAUUCCACGUAGUCCCUAACGAAUUGCUAAUUUAAAAAAAAUAAACUAGCCCAUUUAACUAAGUUUUAGUAUUUGAGUGGAACUAGUUAAUUGAGGCGUCUACCUGAUAGCUGGCUGUAAUGGAGUAAAAAAAAAGUUGACGUCGUGGAGCUACAAACUUCGGAUAAUACCACUCAACCAAUGAGCAGUCCAGCUUGGAACCACGACUGACCAGACUGCGAGCCACCAGUGCGUCCUGUAUGUCAACUCUGCUUCAUUCUCUGGAGAGACACGAGGACAGCGACUGUCACCAUUCACUGACCAUGCCGCCGUUCUUCCCAGUCCUUCUUACUCGGUGCAUAAUUCUCGCCGAAAAAAGUCACUAAAUCUGGGUUUGUGUAUGCGUGUGUUCAUGCCUUUGAGCAAUGACAGUCAAACUGUGCAGCUGGUCACACGCUGACAGUUGUGAACGCUCCCCCCCCGAGGACAAACUAUGCAGAAAGCCUUACUGCGCCCUCUUCCAUGGCCUUGUAGUGCUGUUCAAUGAGGCUUAUGGAAUAUUCUAUUGUUGUUUCACUGCAUUGUGAUACUGGAUGAUCUCCAGUGAGGUUUACAGGUUCUAUUAAUAUUAUAUCUUGACUUAGAGGUAGUAAUCUCCAGGAGAUGAAAUUUUUAAUUUUUAAUUUUUUAAUUGAAAUAGCCUUGCAGCCAUGUGACAUUAACACAGAUAUAAUAAGACGCUUUGUGUUGUUGAUAGUCUAGUACAGGGCUGUCCAAAUAU